UUGGAUGGUUCCAGCCCUCCCAUUACUGAGGUGCACUUGUUUUCCAGCGGCGCAAUAAUGCAACAAACGCCUUUAAAUAACAAAAUAUCAACCAAUAAUAUUCCACAAAAUCAUUAAAAGCUCACAAAACGACAGUUACCUACCCAGAAGACGAAAGAAUAGACGAUAAGGAGAGUUUUGAGGCAGGUUAUCACUGGUUUGGUCUCCAUUCUCCUCGAUGCCAUGAGCGCAGUGGCUGCUGUGAUUCUCCGCUGCGCCUCCGCCACUGCGGUCCAGUCACUCCGGAUCCGUCUAGCCAAUCAGAGGACGAUAUGAUAACAAUAGAACCCGCCUCCUUACAUCGGGCCUGUUGCUGGCCAAUCACAGGAGGAGAGGGAGCGUUGAAGCACCGCCCUUGAGGAAUGACGCCCUCUGCUGGACGUCACAUGACAGUUGACGACAGUUGCGCUAGAGCACCGUGUGAAAUAUGUUCACAAUCUGGCUUCACAUUUAACAAGCUGUCCUGCUAUAUUUGGCACCCCAAAUUUGCAACCUAUUGAGACCCGGUGGAGUGAGAGUCUGCUCGCAGCUUUUACACGAGACCAAAGCAGGCAAGUUACAAACACAGAGAAAACACAGCUGUCACGUCCAUAGUAUUCAUGUGGUUAAAGCUGAAUGCAUGGGGCCUUUCACACUCACCAUGUGACAUGACACUAAACUAACACCCUAAAUGACCCCACUGUACUCGUGAUCAUAUAGCAUGAAAAAACGACCCACCAAUAGAACCCAACACAUUACCAGUAGUGACCAUUAUAGUUUCCAUUAAAACAAAAAAGCAUUGGAAUUCCUGUAAUGGGAAUUGACAUUAAAGAUGUUUAAUGUGAAUGGAUGAGGAUAGCCACAGACACCAGUUAUAAAUUUGUAAUAUAAGACAGAAGUGUUUGCUCUAAUAAGAAAAAAUGUCCAGUGUAAGAAAUUAGAAAACCUGUUGGGUAUAUUAACUUUACAAGGGUGUGUUUGAUGGCAGAGAGCAAACAUACAGCCACACCAUACAACGAAACGUAUUAAAGUUGUGAUAAUGAUAAGAUAAGGAGUUAAGUGCAGAAUGCUAUUGGUCCAAUUUGGUUUGUGCAUACACUUGUUUUUAACCCAUGGUUAGGUAAAAUAUAGACAAUAAUGCUGGGUUCUUUUAACCUGUAGUUAGGUAACAACAACCAAGCAUAUAAUUAUUGUUUUUUGGAGUGUACAAUUGUACGAUUUUAGCACACAUCACAGUUCCGUUUUCCAGCAUUUGCAAAAAAAUUUGAGAAAAAGGAAAAAUUGCUCAUAUCAGCAUUUAGGUGUUUUGGAUGCAACUACUAAUACCAGUUUUAUUUAAAGGGAUAGUUUGGAAAAAAUUGUCAUUAUUUACUACAUCAUGUGUUACAAACCUGUAUGGUUUUUUUUGUGUGUUUUUUAUGAAGACAAUUUGAGGAAUGUUUGUAACAAAACUGUUUGAGCCCCAUUCACUUAGAAUACUAUGGAAGUGAAUGGGGCUCAAACUGUUUGUUUACAAACAUUACUCACAAUAUCUUCAAUUGUGUUCAUCAGAAUUUAUUUAUUUUAUUUAUACAGAUUUGUAACAACACGAAAGUUAGUAAAUGAUGACAGAAUUUUCUUUUUUUGGGGGGUAAACUAUCCCUUUAAGUAGAUGAAAUCUGUGUAAAAUCAAGAUUAUCCAAGCUCCAGUACCUAAUGGGGCGGUUUCCCAGAUAGGAAUUAGACUAGUCCUAGACUAAAAUAAAAAUGUAAGAGUUGUCCAAACUGAAAACAACUUGCUCUGACAUAUCUUUAAAUACAUGAGUGCCCUUUGUUUUGCCUCAAAAUGCACACAAGUAAUGUUUUUAGUAAGGCAUGUUUGUACAAAACUAGUUAUAUUUCCUAAUUAAACUAAGGUCUAGUCCUGGCUUAAGCCAAUCCCUGUCCUGGAAACCAGUCCUAUAUGCUAUGAUCAAAUAUGGACUUUUAAACCAAUUGUUCGUUUCGUCCAUUUUUUACCCAACCACAGGUUCGAAAACAAAACAUUUUAUAGUGUGACAUUUAUUUAUUUUUAGCAAACAAAACAAUCAACAAAUAAUGAAAAUAACAAAAAUUAUUUGGUAGCACUUAUAUGCACGUACAAAAUCAUCAAUACGCCACCUGCUGUUUAAAAAAAAAAAUCAGCAAUUUUUUCUUAAAUUACUUUAUUACACCAUUUAUUUUGAAGGAGAUAAUGUUUUUUUUUUAUAACUGAGAUUUUUUUAAGGUAGAUCAUUGCAUUAAGCAGUGCAAAAGGUUGUGGGUUCAAUCCCAGAGAACACAUAUUUAAGAAAUAUUUGACGACAGGCCGUUGAAUUAUUCGAAAAAAAUGCACACCCAAUGUGGUAAUGCGAUGCAUUAUUUUUAAAUAAUUAUACCACGGUACAACAUAAAUUGCUCUGGUGAUUAUUUUAAAACAUUUGACAGGUGUGCAUUUUACAUAAAAAUAAUUGAAACAUUUCUCAACCAAUCAGAAUAAAGCAUUCAACAGCCCCCGUUGUAUAAAAUAAUAUAAUGUAUACCUUGAAAGUAACCCACUGCAAGUCACUUUGGAGUAAAAAGAGUCUCACAAAUGCAUAAAUGUAAAUCAAAUCGAAAGCAUUGAAACAUAAUAGCCUAUAACUGUUAUAUAAAACAAGACAUUUCAGAUACACCCACAUCUAGACAAUGAGGCACAAAUGUUAAUAUACUGUAUAAAGUCUAUUUGAUCUUGGUCACUUCAUCAAAAUCAAAAUCAUAAAUCAGCUUCCUGGUACAAAUUCAGUUUCAUCAAGAAAUUAAAAUGUAAACUUAUUCUGCAUGUGCAAUGGACAAAACAUUAAACAAUUAAUGCUGGGAACUUGAUAGACAUUACAGUACAGUUUGUAUAGUGCAGAACGCUUUAGGUGGUCCCUCUCUCCAUAAUCCAUCCAAAUUGUAUAACCUGAUUUAUAGGCUGUGUCUGAUAUAGCUCCCUAUACUUGUAGUGGUGUCUGAAAUUAUAGUCAAUACCAUAUUUCACCGCAAUAAUGAGUGUACGACUAGCCACUACCUAU